rnacentral:rRNA from 1 species
GGCGGCGUGCCUAACACAUGCAAGUCGAGCGGGAAAGCCCUUCGGGGUGAGUAUAGCGGCGGACGGGUGAGUAACACGUGAGAAUCUGCCCUUUAGUGGAGAAUACUCCCGAGAAAUCGGGCAUAAUACUGCAUAAGUCCCUUCGGGGAGAAAGAUGGCUUUAUGCUGUCGCUAGAGGAUGAGCUUGCGUACUAUUAGCUAGUUGGUAGGGUAAAGGCCUACCAAGGCUAUGAUGGUUAACCGGCCUGAGAGGGUGUUCGGUCACACUGGAACUGAGAUACGGUGCAGACUCCUACGGGAGGCAGCAGUGAGGAAUAUUGCGCAAUGGGCGAAAGCCUGACGCAGCGACGCCGCGUGGAGGAUGAAGGUCUUUGGAUCGUAAACUUCUGUUAAGUGGGAAGAAAAAGUUGCUUCUAAUACAAGCAAAAAAUGACGGUACCACUAAAGAAAGCACCGGCUAACUUCGUGCCAGCAGCCGCGGUAAUACGAAGGGUGCAAGCGUUAUUCGGAUUUAUUGGGUGUAA